rnacentral:rRNA from 1 species
AGAGUUUGAUCCUGGCUCAGAUUGAACGCUGGUGGCAUGCUUAACACAUGCAAGUCGAACGGUAACAGGUCUUCGGAUGCUGACGAGUGGCGGACGGGUGAGUAACGCGUAGGAAUCUGCCAUCUGUGGGGGAUACCAGUUGGAAACGACUGUUAAUACCGCAUAAUAUCUGCGGAUUAAAGGUGGCCUUUGCGCUGCCGCAGAUGGAUGAGCCUGCGUUGGAUUAGCUAGUUGGUGGGGUAAGGGCCUACCAAGGCUACGAUCCAUAGCUGAUUUGAGAGGAUGAUCAGCCACAUUGGGACUGAGACACGGCCCAAACUCCUACGGGAGGCAGCAGUGGGGAAUAUUGGACAAUGGGGGAAACCCUGAUCCAGCAAUGCCAUGUGUGUGAAGAAGGCUCUAGGGUUGUAAAGCACUUUAGUUGGGGAGGAAAGCCUGUGAGUUAAUAGCUUGCAGGAAGGACGUUGCCCAAAGAAUAAGGACCGGCUAACUCCGUGCCAGCAGCCGCGGUAAUACGGGGGGUCCGAGCGUUAAUCGGAAUUACUGGGCGUAAAGGGUCUGUAGGUGGUUUGUUAAGUCAGAUGUGAAAGCCCAGGGCUCAACCUUGGAACUGCAUUUGAUACUGACAAACUAGAGUAUGGUAGAGGAAUAGGGAACUUCUGGUGUAGCGGUGAAAUGCGUAGAGAUCAGAAGGAACACCAAUGGCGAAGGCAACAUUCUGGACCAAUACUGACACUGAGGGACGAAAGCGUGGGGAUCAAACAGGAUUAGAUACCCUGGUAGUCCACGCUGUAAACGAUGAGUACUAGCUGUUGGAUUCGGUGUAAAGGAUCUAGUGGCGCAGCUAACGCGUUAAGUACUCCGCCUGGGGACUACGGCCGCAAGGCUAAAACUCAAAGGAAUUGACGGGGACCCGCACAAGCGGUGGAGCAUGUGGUUUAAUUCGAUGCAACGCGAAGAACCUUACCUGGUCUUGACAUCCUGCGAACUUUCUAGAGAUAGAUUGGUGCCUUCGGGAACGCAGUGACAGGUGCUGCACGGCUGUCGUCAGCUCGUGUUGUGAAAUGUUGGGUUAAGUCCCGCAACGAGCGCAACCCCUAUUGAUAGUUACCAUCAUUAAGUUGGGUACUCUAUUGAGACUGCCGCUGACAAGGCGGAGGAAGGUGGGGACGACGUCAAGUAUCAUGGCCCUUACGACCAGGGCUACACACGUGCUACAAUGGGUAUUACAGAGGGCUGCGAAGGUGCGAGCUGGAGCGAAACUCAGAAAGGUACUCUUAGUCCGGAUUGCAGUCUGCAACUCGACUGCAUGAAGUCGGAAUCGCUAGUAAUCGCAGGUCAGAAUACUGCGGUGAAUACGUUCCCGGGUCUUGUACACACCGCCCGUCACACCAUGGGAGUGGGUUGCUCCAGAAGUAGAUAGCUUAACGAAUGGGCGUUUACCACGGAGUGAUUCAUAACUGGGGUGAAGUCGUAACAAGGUAGCCGUAGGGGAACCUGCGGCUGGAUCACCU